rnacentral:rRNA from 1 species
GACGAACGCUGGCGGCGUGCCUAAUACAUGCAAGUUGAGCGCUGAAGGGUGGUGCUUGUACCAACUGGGUGAGCAGCGAACGGGUGAGUAACGCGUGGGGAAUCUGCCUUUGAGCGGGGGACAACAAUUGGAAACGAAUGCUAAUACCGCAUAAAAACUUUAAACACAAGUUUUAAUUUUGAAAGAUGCAAUUGCAUCACUCAAUGAUGAUCCCGCGUUGUAUUAGCUAGUUUGUGAGGUAAAGGCUCACCAAAGCGAUGAUACAUAGCCGACCUGAGAGGGUGAUCGGCCACAUUGGGACUGAGACACGGCCCAAACUCCCACGGGAGGCAGCAGUAGGGAAUCUUUGGCAAAAGACGAAAGUCUGACCGAGCAAAGCCGCGUGAGUGAAGAAGGUUUUCGGAUCGUAAAACUCUGUUGGUAGAGAAGAACGUUGGUGAGAGUGGAAAGCUCAUCAAGUGACGGUAACUAAACAGAAAGGGACGGCUAACUACGUG